rnacentral:lncRNA from 1 species
UCGUUAGUGAUAGUGAAUAAACACUUAUCGAGGAUAACACGCCUAACAUGGAAGAUACUGAUAGCCCCCUGUCACCACAUGAGCGGUUCGGGCAUGCAAAACAGAUUAUUUCUUGAGGAUUUAGAGAGUGGCACAUGCAAAUCUACUUGGAACGGCAGGUAGCCGCAUAUAGGUAGGUAUGGUGGACUCACAUGGAACAACUUUGGGUUUAUGGAAGUGGAUGCUCAAGCAGUAUUCCCGCUUAGUACAAGUGAAGGCUAGCCAAAGACUGGGAAGCGACCAACUAGAGAGCGACAACAGUCAUCAAAAUGCAUUGAGAUUAACCAACAUUGAGUGCAAGCAUGAGUAGGACAUAAAUCACCAUGAACAUGAAUAUCAUAGAGGCUAUGUUGAUUUUGUUUCAACUUCAUGCGUAAACAUGCGCCAAGUCAAGCCACUUGAGAACGGUUCGUGUUCAACCGUUGAGCUACUAUAGCGCACAAGCUAUAAGUUUUAUCAUUAUAAAGGGCUUCGCGCAAGACCGCAAGAUCUGGGG